rnacentral:lncRNA from 1 species
GCGCGCUUUGAUUAGAUGGCACUCCUUUAUACGUGAGAGAGAAUUCUGACGUUGAAGGUCCACCGGGUGAUUCAAAAAUAGCACGGGAUUGUUUUGUUUGGUAAGAACACGGGGUUUGUUUUCGUAUAACAAAAUUGCACUGGACCGCGUUCUUAUUACUAGUUCAGUCUUGAUGUUUCUCAAAAUAUCUGAAUUGCCAUUUCUGCUGUGAUUGGCAAGCCAGGAGGGUGGUGAU